UGUAUAAAAAAAUAAGCAUUUAGCUAGGGUAAGUUGAAUGUUUUUUUCUUCUAAAAAACCGCUAUCAUAUCAUUUAUAUUUGCUUUAUAUGCCAUGCUAUCGAAUCUAACUCAUGAUCAGAAUCCAUCUCAUUUCUUAGCUCAACUGGUUGGCAUCCAUCUCGAUCUCGAAGAGAUCCAAGGCUCAAACCUAGGUGGUGGUGCUGCCAUCAUAUUUUUCUUAAAAAAACAGAAGAAAAGGAAAACAGUGGGCUUAAGUAUAUUCUGUGUCAGCUACAUAUAUAUCCUACCCCCUAGAUGUUCUCACCCUUGCCAGAAUCAGCUAAGCUUAGGUUUUAGUGUGUUCCCCCCCGUAAGAAAUCAUAAAAAUCUUUUCCGCUGAAAGAAAACAUUCCAAACAUAAUUAUAUCUUGCUUGUUGGUUAAAUCUGAAUACGGAUAUAUAACUUGCUAUUGGUGCAUGGGUGCAGAAUUAACUGGUGGCCAGACGCCUGUGGAUGCCUCGCGCCCCGUUGCAUAUCGUGCCCUGUCACCAGGGACUGUCCUGCCAUCAAGGCGUGGCCAUUCAUAUACUCGCAAGUGCAACACCUAUUACCGUUGUGCACCCCCGGUCCCAUAGCUGCAGAGUAAAAUCGUAGGUGGACUACUAGUAAUGGCUGCAGCGGUUGCUACAUCCUCGCAUAAACUGCCUUGAAAUGGGCAUAUGAACUAAAUAAGCAGUCGUAUCAUGAUGCGACGUUCGGUUUGUUGUACGUGUACUGUGUACCUAAUGGUGAUUGGGAAUUUUAAAGCUGCCGCGUUGUUUCUGUUGCUGUUAUAUUGAGUUACGGGAUCUCUCUUAUCUACUUCUUUUUCACUAGUUUUUGCAAUCCUCGUUGCUCAGAUGGGAAUUUUGACAUCCUCUACUCCUUGCAUCAAUUAUUAAAUGGCCGCUUGCCCGAGUUGUUUACAACACCGCAACCAAU
rnacentral:lncRNA from 1 species